AGUAUGCAAUAUUAAAAAGAACUGUUUAUAAUGAUUUCUUUCUUUUUUAUAUAUUGGAAUUAUUGUUCAGGUACAUUUGCAAAACAACUUAAAAUGUAUAAUGUGCACAUCCUCAUGAUUACUUAACAUUUUCUUUAGGAAAAUUGCAUCCUAUGUUUUGACUUUACUUAAAGCCAUCAACAAUGCAUUUAUAGAGGUUAGUAACUAUUAUCACUCACAAUAAGUAUUUAUAAAAACACAACACAGGUAUUAAUAACAAUAUAUUCACUUAUUGGACAGAAAUAAAUAUAUAAAUUUAACUAUAACUGUUCUUUUAAUGCAGUAUAUGUCUUAAUGAGUUUUUAAAAUAUAUUUAUAGAAUACUUAACAUAAGUAUAAAUGGAGCUAAAAUUCAUUAUAGGCAUAGACUUAAUAGAAAGUUUUACUGUAUUUAUUAAAUAAAAUUAACUUAUUUGUCACAAUAAAACUGUAAAUGGUUGAUCAAUGAUGUAUUUGUUUUGUAUAUAUAUAUAUAUAUAUAUAUAUAUAAUACAUCACUGAUGAAUUUGAUAUUUUUAUAUAUUUCUGAAAUGGCAAGAAAGGAAAAAAUAUAUUUUUAUUAGUAAUACGGAAGAUGGCGUCAUCACGUGAUUAAUUCUAACCAAUGAGACUGCUGGAACUGCAUCGCUAAUGAGCUGUCAUUCCGGAUUUGACUGCACCGCCCAGUUCUGCUUCAAACAGAUCAUUGGUUCUGCUCUUAUUCUUUGCCAUCUAGUCCUGAUUCCUGACUACAGGUCUUCAGGAUGACCAGGAACUACAGGACGGUUUGAGCUACACUCUGCAGGACGUUGGUCCUCCAUGACCAGGACUGGACAGCACUGUCCUAAAUAAACCUAAGGAGAGCCGCUCAGGCACAGGUCACUGCAUCUUUUGCU